AUGGGCAGCAGACUGAGAUCCCGGACAACAGUUCCUCGUCCUUACACACCCAACUCUCAUUCAAAGGCAAUUCACAAAGAAAUCUGUGUUUUCUCUGAUGCGUCAACAAAGGCCAUAGGGGCUGUAGCAUAUCUCAGGGCAGUAGAUGGAGAUGGACAGAUCAGCAUUGGCUUCAUCUUAGGAAAAGCAAAACUGACGCCAAAAAACCAGCCUACCAUACCCCGAUUAGAGCUUUGUGCUGCAGUCUUAGCAGUGGAGGUAGCAGAACUCAUUGUUCAAGAGAUUGACUUCAAACCGGAUGCUAUUUCCUUCUACAGUGAUAGCAAAAUUGUACUUGGCUAUAUCUAUAACGAAACUAAACGUUUCUACGUCUAUGUCCACAACAGGGUGCAGAGAAUCAGACAAUUUUCAGAACCAAAGCAAUGGCGAUACAUACCCACAGAGCACAAUCCUGCUGACAUUGUUUCCAGGUCCAUCCAUGCAUCUCAGCUCGUGAAAUCGAACUGGUUUACAGGUCCAGCAUUCCUGCAUAAGCCACAUGAAGAUGAUUUCAAUAUGACAGACAACUUUGCGCUUGUGGAUCCAGAUUCAGAUACAGAAAUCAGGCCAAUUGUGACAGCUUGCACCACAGGAAUGAAGGAUAAACAACUCACCUCUGACAGGUUUCAGAGGUUCUCCUCUUGGAAAUCCUUACAAAGAGCCAUUGCAUCGCUCAUCCAUGUAGCUUGCUCUUCUAGAUCCACCAGUGAAUCCAACACAUGCAGUGGUUGGCACCUUUGUUCACAAGCACACACUGUAAGUGGGUUGUUAAAAGCCAAGAAUGUGAUAAUCAGCUCUGUGCAAAAGGAAUCAUUCAACAAGGACAUCGAAACACUCUCUAAGGGAGGACACCUGAGCAGCAAAGUUCCACUCUCAAAACUGAAUCCUUUCUUAGAUGAGGACGGUCUACUCCGAGUCGGAGGCAGAUUAAAACUGGCAGAUUUAAACUACCCAGAGAAAAACCCAGUCAUCUUGCCCGGUAAGCAUCACGUUUCUGCGUUACUCAUAAGGCACUACCAUGAACGUGUGGAGCACCAAGGCCGCAUAUUCACAGAAGGGGCCAUUCGUGCUGCUGGAUUAUGGCUUAUUGGAGGAAAGAGAUGCAUAAGCAGUAUUCUUCAUGGAUGUGUAACCUGUCGUAAACUUUGUGGUAAACUUGAAAUGCAGAAAAUGUCAGACUUGCCACCAGAACGACUAAGUGUGUCACCACCCUUUACUUACACUGGCCUAGAUGUCUUUGGGCCUUGGACAGUGGUAGCUCGCCGAACAAGAGGAGGUCAAGCUCUCAGUAAACGCUGGGCGGUGCUUUUCACCUGCAUGAGCACCCGUGCAGUUCACAUUGAAGUCAUUAUGUCUAUGGACUCUUCGAGUUGUAUCAAUGCACUUCGCAGGUUUUUCGCGAUCCGUGGCCCUGCAAAACAACUGCACUCAGACUGUGGAACCAACUUUGUUGGUGCUUGCAAUGAGCUUGAAUUCCACAAAGUUAUAAAAGAAACAAAGGUGCAAAGAUACAUCAAUAACGAGGGAUGCACAUGGGUUUUCAACCCACCACACUCCUCCCAUAUGGGGGGCGCAUGGGAGCGAAUGAUUGGUCUGGCUCGUAGAAUUCUUGACUCAAUGCUGAUGCGGGAAGGACAUUCUAACCUCUCAGAUGAAGUGCUUUGUACACUUAUGGCGAAAGUGACAGCAAUUAUUAACAGUAGACCUCUCGUACCUGUUUCUUUGGAUGCAGACUCACCCUUGAUUCUUACCCCUGCAAUGCUCUGCACAAAAAGCAGUUUCUUCACCUCCAGCAGGAGACUUCUCUGA
ensembl:lncRNA